UCAAUUGGCCAGCAUCUAGAGUCACCUAGGAGACAAGCCUCUGGGAAUGUUGAUGAGGAUGUUUACAUAUUGGAUCAACUGAGAUGAAAAGAAUCAUCCCAGCUGCGGGCAGCACCAAUCCUCAAAUCCUGUGGGUUAGAGUUCCAGAAUGAACGAAGAGGAAAACGAUGAGAAAACAGGCUCAAAGUGGGGAAGUGACUUGCCCAGGAUUGCACAGUUCAGCUUGUAUUCAGAAUAGUCAGAGGCACAGAACCCAGAGAACAAAAUGCCAGCUUGUUACAGACAGGGCUGCUUGGGGAACAUAGCUUAGGCCGGCAGAGCUGAUCCCUGUGGUGCUGAAAACAGACAUCUAUAAGCCCAGCCCUCCCCUGAAGCUUGUCAGGGCUGUCUUCAUGUGUCUGCUUUCCCCCGGACUGUGUUACCUAUGUCAUGCUCUUACAAAUCAGCUGCCAGCAUCUGCCUCCAUCACAGAGGUCAAGCUUUCUUCAAGAUGACUUCCUGCCCGGCAGAAUUGUUGUGGAAGAUCAUUCUCUGAUCAAUACUGCUGCUAUCUUCGGGAGGGCUGGACCUGCUUACAAGGAAUUAUCAUAGGACUUGCUGGCCACUAAAAGCUGCUCUGCUCCCAAGAUCCCCUGGGAACUAUGGUCCCCUAAAAGCGGCUUUUGAUCAGGUCUCCCUUCUCUGCCUCACCAGGGCUUUGCCACACCCACCCGGCAGACCUCUGCUUCCCACUUCUGCACCCAUCCUGGCUAGGCUAUCCAGCUCCUGAUGGCACGGUGUUGGGUUUUGUGCUCUCUCUUGCCUGCAUCAGCCAGUUACCAGCUGUUCCUCCUCGUGAUGGAUUAAAGCUUUUCCGGCUGGAUCUUCUCUACCAGAUGAGACCGAAAUCAAAGGCCUGAAAUUGCAGCUGAAAACAUAUCCUCCACUAACUCAAGGGAAGAAAUCAGGACAGCUUAAACUCCUGAUGGCUCCAGCACCGGAUGACCUUCCCGUUUUAUCCUGAGACUACUGAGAAAUAGUUCUGCCUUAGGGAUGGGAAGCUUGCACCCAUGUGUUCAGGGGGGUACAUAUUCUACUGUGUCUUGGUGUGAUGAAAGUAGACAGUGGUAGAACUCAAGACUCAACUCCUUGACAGAUGCCCCAGUGGUGCUGAUGCUAGUAGUCCAGGCACCACUCCUGGAGAACCAGUGCUAUAUUUACUUUGAAUACAGAGCAAGUUAGU
rnacentral:lncRNA from 1 species